rnacentral:lncRNA from 1 species
GGGGCUAUGACUCGCCCAUACCCUUUUAUAGUGCUCUAAGUAUUUCAGAGUGGUGUGAUUUAAACACAUCACAAGUAAGGCCAUUCUGCCUUCGAGAGUGGUUAUCUGAAACACCUUCCGUUUGACUCUCAUGGGAAGGAGGGCUAAUCUGCAAUGACCCACUUGUCAGCUUUCUUCUUCUUAAAUCAAGAGUCCUUCAGAGAACCAUGUAGGCCAUAUGAAAACCAAUGUAAGUCAACACACUUGAGAGACUUCUGAGCAAUCAGCUUACGGAAACCUACACUGCAGCACCUCCCCCAAACUUCAACGUCGUAUGUUUCAAAUGCUCAGUUUCAGGGUUCAAGUCUCAUGAACUUGGGAACUUUUAAGCAGUCAGGCUGCAUCUUUUAAGUUAAUGCAUUUUCUUAAGAAUAACUUUUUAUUUUUUCUUUGACAAUUUUACACACACAUUUAAUGUAUCUUGAUCACACCCACCACCAACUCCCAAUCUCCCUUCCCACUCCUCUUAGACAUCCCUCAACCCCCGCCCCCCCACCCCCAUCUCACAUUCGUGUCCUUGCUUGGUUUUGUAACUCACGGACUCUGGUGCUCCCUGAUGGAAUGUUGACUUGGUCUUGUGCAAGUAACCAUACCUAUAGUGAGUUCAGGAAGGCAGAGCCGAGUCCUGUCCAGAAGGCAGGAUUCCACAGCUCUCUUCCCAUCCCCUGGCUCUUCCGUUCUCUCCCACCCCCCACUCUUGUGAGGAAGUCUGGUUUGGGGCUGAGCACUCAGUAGCCACUAAUUCCAAGCACACUUGCCAGUUAUGAGUCUCUGCAUUGCUGAAUUUGGAGUUAAUCUAUGUUGUGUCCAUUUCCAGUAUCCAGGCCAAAGAAGCAGCCCCUAUGUGGGGCUCACGGACCUUAGGGAAACAUGACAGCUCCUAAAGCUUGUGCUAGAAGCCAGAUUUGGUGGCACACUCCUGUAAUCCCAGCACUUGGGAACUGAGACAGCAUAGGGUACCUAGCAGGACCAGGUCUCCAAGCAAAAAGAACAAAACUCAUGCAAGGUGGUAACAUUCUUCAUUUCCACCAUAUGCUACGAGCCAAAGUAAGUCCUGUGACAAGCAUGGUGUCUGUGGUCAUAAUGAAUUUUCCUGUCACAGGAAGAGAACAGUGAAAUACAAUAGACUACCAAGGUGCCUGAGAUCCACAUCUCUGUCAUUGGGGAAGCUGUAUUUAUAGGCCUGGUAAUGUGCAAUAUUGUUAUAUUCCUGAUGACAGGAUUGUAAACCAUUAGUCCUCUGUCAAAAGGCCAUGCAAGGACCAACCACAAAGGAAAAUCAAUGCUGACUGAGACAGGAAUGCCUUUCAUUGAUUCUCCCAUCAAUCAGCAAGACAUCACGAGUGCUCUCUGAGCGUCAGUGUUGGGAAGAAUCAGCAGAACAGUGCGGACACCAAACCAGGGAAAACCUCAACACCUCUGAGUCAAACAGGGACUCAAAACGGGGACAGGAUGAUGUAAUAGCUUAAAUGAUUUAUUCUGCUUCCCCUUCUGAUCAUGUGCAAGAGCAAUUUUUUAAAAAUAAUCUACAUAUAAAUAGUUGAAAUUAUUUGUUGUUUUUGCUCUCUGUUUGGUUGUGUGGAACCACACGUGUCCCAAAGAUUUUUUAUUCCUGAAGCAAAUAGAUCAGGAGAGUUUUAUUUUUUUAUUAUUUCCAUCAGUCUCAGUCUUUUUUUAAAAAGAUUUAUUUAUUUAUCAUGUAUACAGUGCAGGCCAGAAGGGGGCACCAGAUCUCAUUGCAGAUGGUUGUGAGCCACCAUGUGGUUGCUGGAAAUUGAACUCAGGACCUCUGGAAGAACAGUCAGUGCUCUUAACCCCUGAGCCAUCUCUCCAGCCCCAAUCUCAGUCUUUAGACUUUAGGAAAAUCAAUUUGCAUGUCUUUGUGAGCCUUAAGGUUUCAUUCGUUCCAGCCUAUGGUACAGCAUCAUGGGUGUCAACUAUUCCCACGUUGUUUCUCCUUUGCUGUUGCUGCUGUCUUCUCUCUGACUCCUACUAACUCGUUGAUUUUCCCCCCUAGUACAUAUUUUCCUCCUGAGAAUCCCUGAGAGAACCUCCUUGCGGCUUCUAGUGUGCAGGCCUGUCAAGCUAUUUUUUAAACUUUGUCUUUGGUCGUUAUGGUUCCUUGAAUGUUUAACUCUUCUGUGAGCCUCUUGGCUGGCUUCAGGGAACUCGAUCACUGUUGUGUUUGUCAACAGGCUUUCCUCUCCAGUCUGUAAAAACAGACAUUUGUAAUGAAAACAAAGAUUGUGUUAAAAACUGGAAUAGAAAAACCUAACAUAUCACAACCAAACAUUUGUCUCCACUCUGUUCACCCCGGAUCCCUGGCCAGCAGAGCCACCGGAGUUCACUGGUUGACGAGCACACACGCCUUUCUUGUUUAUUCAAACAUACGGAAGCAGCCGGUGACUACAAAAGAGCAAAUGUUUGCAAGCUGCCCGCCACUUCCUCUUUACGGCUGGUGAAAUACCUUGACAAUUCCUACACCUUUUUGUUUCUAGUUCUAGCUUUUCCCUCUUUUUUUUUUUUUUUUCUAACUUCUGGAUGCACACGAGUGUGGCAUUAUAUAAGUGAGAUAAUAGAAUGCCAAGGAGAGGAUGGAAUUAGAUAUUCCCUAUAGUUUGGAUCCUGAGUAUUUCCCAAAGGUCUAUGUGUUGAAGGCUUGGUUCACAGCCUGUGGAGGUGGAGGACCCUGCUGGAGGGGGUAGACAUUUUAGGAGGAGGCAGAGGCACUGGGAAGAAGUUAGGUGCUGGGGUUUCCGUUUGAGGGGGCACUGGGAUCCCAAUCUCUCCUCCCACUUUCUCUACUUCCCAGUCACCAGGCCAUGCCCACCACCCACUCCGACCAUAAUAUUAUUACAUUGCUACAAACAAUACCGAAAACCCAAGCAACCACAGGCAGAAACCUCUGAGAGCGAGCCAAAGUGAACCUGUCUUGCUUAGAAGUCCAUUGUGCUAGGCAGUUUGCCACAGAUGCAAUUGUUUUGUCUCUGCUUGCCACCUUUCCAUUGUCACCAGGCCGUUAGAUCACUUCAUAAAGUAGCCACUGUCACUAUGCAGCCUUACCUGGCUUGGAAGUCACUAUGUAGACCAGGCUGGCCUUAAAUUUGGAGGUCUGCCAGCCUCUGCCUCCUGUGUGCUGGAAUUAAAGAUGUGACUGCCAUGCCUGGCUCUUAAAACAUUAUAUAUAUAUAUAUAUAUAUAUAUAUAUAUAU